rnacentral:lncRNA from 1 species
GAAAAUGCCAAACUAUUUUCCAAAAUGACUACUGUUUUGCAUUCCCACCAGCUGUGCAUGAGGGUUGCUUUUGUAAAGCUCAUCUCAGUCACACCUUUUGCAUUUCCUGGAAUCUGCCUGACUUGUUGAUGCAUGUCUUGAAACCCUGGAGUGGGGAGGGGAGUGGCUUCUCUUGUUGUUAUAUUAAUAACCCACUUGGGGAAUUUUUGCUUCCUCUUCACACAACCUUAGAUGGAGUGAAUUUCUAGACCAAGCUUGUCUUUGUGAACAUGGCAGGCCUCAAAACAUUCAGCUCUUCUGCAGGGAGAGUCCUGAAAGAUGCACUCCAAGGGUUUAACUGAAGAGAGUCUAGUGAAGGAAGUAUUUAUGGAGAUAUGGGCCUGGCUAAGGUAACUAACAAGGGAUGAUAGAGCGCCCAGGGAUUACCAAUAGCAAGAAUCCCUUCCCCUCCAUCACUAGGCCUGCAGAAGUGAGGAGAUGGAGUAGUAAUACUAGAACCCACAGAGAGCUUGGAGCCAUGGAGGAGAGAAGUGAGGAGAUGGAGUAGUAAUACCAGAACCCACAGAGAGCUUGGAGCCAUGGAGGAGAGAAGUGAGGAGAUGGAGUAGUAAUACCAGAACCCACAGAGAGCUUGGAGCCGUGGAGGAGAGAAGUGAGGAGAUGGAGUAGUAAUACCAGAACCCACAGAGAGCUUGGAGCCGUGGAGGAGAGAAGUGAGGAGAUGGAGUAGUAAUACCAGAACCCACAGAGAGCUUGGAGCCGUGGAGGAGAGAAGUGAGGAGAUGGAGUAGUAAUACCAGAACCCACAGAGAGCUUGGAGCCGUGGAGGAGAGAAGUGAGGAGAUGGAGUAGUAAUACCAGAACCCACAGAGAGCUUGGAGCCGUGGAGGAGAGGCCACACAACAGAAGCUGUAACUGUGGAACACAGCCAGAACCUGAGUAAACCCACAGCAGGGAGAACCAGGGAAAGAAAUAUCCAGACCUCUCUCUUCCACUACCCUGUGAAUCCUUUGGAACUUCCCAUUGGUCAGACCCAAUCAGAAACCAUAUGGAAAGUAUAUUGGCAUGUCAGGAUUCUCCACAGAAACAGAACCAACAAGAUACAUAGAAAAGAAGAGAUUUAUUAUGAGGAAUUGGCUUGUGUGAUUAUGGAGGCCAAGAAAUCCCAUGAUCUGAGGGUCCAAGAAAGUUGGAGAUGUAAUUCUCGCCUGAGUGCAGAGGCCUGAGAACCAGGGGAGCUGAUGAAUCUAAAAAAAGGAGAGAGCUCAGGAGGAAUAUCACAAACGGGACUUCACGGAGGUGCUCUCUCCCAAUAUGUACAACAGUAAACUCUGGGAAGCCUCAGGCCACUGGCAGCAUUACAGCGAGAACAUGUUUACCUUUGAGAUUGAAAAGGACACUUUUGCCCUCAAACCCAUGAAUUGUCCAGGGCACUGUCUAAUGUUUGCCCAUCGUCCACGAUCUUGGAGGGAAAUGCCUAUUAGAUUUGCUGAUUUUGGAGUUCUGCAUAGAAAUGAACUGUCGGGGACUCUCAGCGGCUUGACCAGAGUGAGGCGCUUCCAGCAGGACGAUGCUCACAUUUUUUGCACAGUGGAGC